AAAUGACUGAGGAAGAAGAGAAAACUAAGUCAGUGCAGAUCCAUAACUGGGCGGAGUUAACUCAGUUAUGCCUAGUGAAUAUACUCUCUCGUCUCUCCAUUGAAGAUCGAUGGCGAGGUGCCAUGUUUGUCUGCAAAUCCUGGUUACAAGCUUGUAAGGAUCCUAAUUUAAACUCGGUAAUCGAUCUCGAAGCUCAGUUCAUCGAAUCGGUCACUGAAUCGUCGCCGUUGUCGUCGACUCGUUACUGGAA
rnacentral:misc_RNA from 1 species